GACCUAAACUCCACGUAGUACCCAUAAAUGGUGACACGUGUAGCAUGGUCGCAAACCGUAAGCCAUAGAGAACCCGUCAUUCAGGGCGUGGCUUACGUUGCACGAGGAAACUUGUGUAGGGCCGCAAGGCCU
rnacentral:sRNA from 12 species